rnacentral:rRNA from 1 species
UGGGGAAUAUUGCACAAUGGGCGCAAGCCCGAUGCAGCAACGCCGCGUGAGGGAUGACGGCCUUCGGGUUGUAAACCUCUUUUAGCAGGGAAGAAGCGAAAGUGACGGUACCUGCAGAAAAAGCACCGGCUAACUACGUGCCAGCAGCCGCGGUAAUACGUAGGGUGCAAGCGUUGUCCGGAAUUAUUGGGCGUAAAGAGCUCGUAGGCGGUCUGUCGCGUCUGCUGUGAAAUCCCGAGGCUCAACCUCGGGCCUGCAGUGGGUACGGGCAGACUAGAGUGCGGUAGGGGAGAAUGGAACUCCUGGUGUAGCGGUGGAAUGCGCAGAUAUCAGGAAGAACACCGAUGGCGAAGGCAGUUCUCUGGGCCGUAACUGACGCUGAGGAGCGAAAGCGUGGGGAGCGAACAGGAUUAGAUACCCUGGUAGUCCACGCCGUAAAACGUUGGGCGCUAGAUGUGGGGACCAUUCCACGGUUUCCGUGUCGCAGCUAACGCAUUAAGCGCCCCGCCUGGGGAGUACGGCCGCAAGGCUAAAACUU